AGGACGAACGCUGGCGGCGUGCUUAACACAUGCAAGUCGAGGGGGCAGUGAGGGCAACCUUGCUGUCACCGGCGAACGGGUGCGUAACACGGUGAGCGACCUACCCCGUUUUGCGGGGGAUAGCCGGGCCCAACGGCCGGGUAAUACCGCAUACGCUCGCUUUAGGGGCAUUCUGAGGCGAGGAAACUUUUCGGAGGCGGAGGGAGGGGCUCGCGGCCUAGUCAGCUAGUGGCGGGUAACGCCACAAGGCGUGACGGUAGCUGGCUGAGAGGAUGGCCAGCCGACAGUUGGGGACUGGACGAGACGGCCCAGGACUCCUACGGGAGCCAGCAGUGGGGAAUCUUGCGCAAGUGACCGAAGGCUGACG
rnacentral:rRNA from 1 species